CCUACGGGAGGCAGCAGUGAGGAAUAUUGGUCAAUGGACGAGAGUCUGAACCAGCCAAGUAGCGUGAAGGAUGAAUGUCCUAUGUGUUGUAAACUUCUUUUAUAAAGGAAUAAAACGAGGCACGUGUGCCUUUUUGCAUGUACUUUAUGAAUAAGCAUCGGCUAACUCCGUGCCAGCAGCCGCGGUAAUACGGAGGAUCCGAGCGUUAUCCGGAUUUAUUGGGUUUAAAGGGAGCGUAGAUGGGUUGUUAAGUCAGUGGUGAAAGUUUGCGGCUCAACCGUAAAAUUGCAAUUGAUACUGGCAGUCUCGAGUACAGUAGAGGUAGGCGGAAUUCGUGGUGUAGCGGUGAAAUGCAUAGAUAUCACGAAGAACCCCGAUUGCGAAGGCAGCAUACUAAACUGUGACUGACGUUGAGGCUCGAAAGUGUGGGUAUCAAACAGGAUUAGAUACCCGUGUAGUC
rnacentral:rRNA from 1 species